rnacentral:rRNA from 1 species
GACGAACGCUGGCGGCGUGCCUAACACAUGCAAGUCGAGCGAUGAAACCCUUCGGGGUGGAUUAGCGGCGGACGGGUGAGUAACACGUGGGUAACCUACCUCAAAGAGGGGGAUAGCCUCCCGAAAGGGAGAUUAAUACCGCAUAACAUUGGUUUUUCGCAUGAAGAACCAAUUAAAGGAGCAAUCCGCUUUGAGAUGGACCGCGGCGCAUUAGCUAGUUGGUGAGGUAACGGCUCACCAAGGCGACGAUGCGUAGCCGACCUGAGAGGGUGAUCGGCCACAUUGGAACUGAGACACGGUCCAGACUCCUACGGGAGGCAGCAGUGGGGAAUAUUGCACAAUGGGCGAAAGCCUGAUGCAGCAACGCCGCGUGAGUGGUGAAGGCCUUUGGGUUGUAAAGCUCUGUCUUUGGGGACGAUAAUGACGGUACCCAAGGAGGAAGCCACGGCUAACUCUGUGCCAGCAGCCGCAGUAACAC